UAAUACCUUUGGUCUUAUCACCUGCACUGGAUCGAGGAAUCAUUCAUUUCUUUUCUUCUUUCUUUCUUCUUCUUCUUCUUCUUCUUCUUCUUCUUCUUCUCCGUUCUGUCUCUGUUUCUCUGCUGCUGUUCAUCCGUGUGUAUCGAUUGAUAAAAUUGAUUGAUGUUGUUGUGAAGGUAAAGAGGGUGGAGGUGUUACUGUUAUGAAUUGGAAGAAGAAGGAGAUGAGGUUGUACAUCGUGAGAAAUUAUUAGGGUUCUUGUAAAUGAACUUGAGAUUUCGAUUGAGGAUAAAUAAGAAGAAGUUAGAAGAUAGGUUGUUCUUAAUAGAGGUUUGAUUGAAGCUUUGAAAUUGUUUUGAUGUUUGAAAUUUAGAGUUAGGGUUUCGUUUGAAAUUCAGAAGAAGAAGUGGAAGAUGAAAUUAAUGCUCAAGAGAAAAAUAGAAGAUGGGUUUUAAUUGAAGAUGUAAAGUGGUUCUGUUGAAAUAUCAGUGAAUUAGGGUUUUGGGUCUGAUCUUUGGGUUAUUUGAAAAUCAUGACGAUUAUCGAGUUGCUGAAGGAUGAAGAGCAACUGGGUCGUCGUUUAAUUGAAAUUCUAAUGUUAUUCUGAAGAAGAGUUGAGAUGUUAUUGAUUAUGUGUAGAAAUUAGUGUUUCUGGUUUUGUGUUUGAAUUCAAGAUGGGAAGUUGAGAAGAUGAAAUUGAAAGCAGAAUUGAAUCAAAGUAAAAUAGAACCAGAUUUCAAUUGGUCGAGCAAAUCUAAUAUGAGGUAAUUACUUUUAUGAAUUUCUUUGCAAAGUUGUUCAAUUUCGUUGGUUGAUCAUUUAGGAUUGUUAACAGAAUUAAGGAAUUAAAGAAGGGUUUUGCUGUGACUUGGGUGUUAUGAAUUGUUGGUGUUAAUGUUAAUUGAGAUGAUGCGAAUGAGUGUUGUUUGAGCUGUUAUCUGCUGGUACUAAUGGAAUGAAAUGAAAGAUGGAGUUGAAAAUGGUAGUCUUAUGUCUGUAUUGGCGAAUUGUGUUGGAAAAUAGAAAUAGGGUUGGACUUAUUGUGGUAAUGAUGUUGGAGUUUAUGGAAUUGGCUAUGGUGUCACUAAAAUGGAUGUGUAUUAAGUGAAUCACAUUUGAAUCAAUGAGAUGUUGGUUUGUUCUUGGUGUGGUAUUGAGCUGUUGUUGUUAUGAUUUGGAAAUGGUUAUGGAAUGGAAUGUGUGUGGAUGAUGGCUAGGUGCUGUUGGUAAAUUGCAGGAAGAAUUGUUGAGCUGAACUCAGUCGAAAUAGUAUGUGAUUGGUGUAAAACUCUUGGAGUUGGUUUGUGCUGUUAAGAUGUAUAGGCUGAGUUGGUUGUAAUGCUGUCAUAGCAAAGAGUUUCGUAAAAGCCUGCGAUUGCCGAUUAAGUGAUUUUUAUUAACAACAAUCGAUUCAAAGGAUGAACCGGUGGAUCAUGGAUCUCGAGGUGUGCGUGGCUUGUCAUCAAAAGAGUUUCAGAGACAUAUCAAAGUUGCGCAGCGAAAACAUCAAACAUUCAGUUCAUUAAUUGGUUAACUUCUUCUAUGUUAUGUCGUAUAUUUUAUUUGUAAACCAAAUGUCUAUUGUAUAUGUAUCAUUUGAGAGGAGUUCAUGUAUAUAUUUUAGAGAGGGGAUAGUUUUUGGGUUAAGUGUCGUAACAAAUUUCUUAAUUGAACGUUUAAGUAAGUGUUUUAGAUCCUUAUUGCCUCUUUAUUUUGUUAAUCUCUUGGAUUAGUCGGCUGCUAGUCUUGGGGGCGUUACAGACUUCACAACUUACAACUGAAGACGAAGAUCUACUGAAAAACUCGAAGGAACUUCAUCAACAAAAGGAGGUUCAGGUUGGUGAUCCUGCCCAGAAGAUGCAGAAUCUAGGGCAUGCAGAGAAGCUGUCAGAUGGACUAGAGAAUGUGGUAUAGAAAAUGUGGUCUUUUUAAAUGAUAAUAAAAAUGUCAUCGGUAGUAUGAAGGAUGAGAACCAUUUUGCGGUCAAUUGGAGAUCAAAGUCCAUUUUGCAUCAGGCCAUUCAGCAAAACCAAUUUCUUGCUAGUUCUUAUUUCUUUUACAUUAAAAGGGAUUGUAACAAGUUAGCUGAUAAGUUAACAAAAUUCCUUAUAAAAUUCACGGACUGUAAAAUCGAUUCUAGAUACUGGGAUAUAUCUAGAAAAGAUAUAUGGCUAGAUAAGCUAUGUAACAAAAACUUUGUUCUUUCUUUUACGUAGUGGUAUA